GACGAACGCUGGCGGCGUGCUUAACACAUGCAAGUCGAACGGAAAGAGAUGAAAGAGCUUGCUCUUUUAUUAAUUUCAGUGGCAAACGGGUGAGUAACACGUAAACAACCUGCCUUAAGGAUGGGGAUAACAGACGGAAACGACUGCUAAUACCGAAUACGUUCUAAGCAUCGCAUGGUGCAUAGAAGAAAGGGUGGCCUCUACAAGAAAGCUAUCGCCUUAAGAGGGGUUUGCGACUGAUUAGGUAGUUGGUGAGGUAACGGCUCACCAAGCCGACGAUCAGUAGCCGGUCUGAGAGGAUGAACGGCCACACUGGAACUGAGACACGGUCCAGACUCCUACGGGAGGCAGCAGUGGGGAAUCUUCCGCAAUGGACGAAAGUCUGACGGAGCAACGCCGCGUGAACGAAGAAGGUCUUCGGAUUGUAAAGUUCUGUGAUUCGGGACGAAAGGGUUUGUGGUGAAUAAUCAUAGACAUUGACGUACCGAAAAGCAAGCC
rnacentral:rRNA from 1 species